AGGACGAACGCUGGCGGCGUGCUUAACACAUGCAAGUCGAACGGAAAGGCCCGCUUGCGGGUACUCGAGUGGCGAACGGGUGAGUAACACGUGGGCAACCUGCCCUCAGCUCUGGGAUAACUCCGGGAAACCGGUGCUAAUACUGGAUAUCGACUUCUGCCUCGCAUGGGGUGUUGUUGAAAGUUUUCGGCUGGGGAUGGGCCCGCGGCCUAUCAGCUUGUUGGUGGGGUGAUGGCCUACCAAGGCGACGACGGGUA
rnacentral:rRNA from 1 species